rnacentral:lncRNA from 1 species
GAGAACAUUUACUACUACACAAACCAUGAUGGGAUUUGCCGACAUUAAAAAAGCGUCAACACUAGAGAAUAUUUACAGAGUCACUAACCAACAAAAGGGGAUAGUAUUUUCAGCAAGGCCUCAGAGCAAUUCAUCGUUCCUCUUCGUAGCAAAAAAUACAAUAAAAACCAAAAUAUCAGGAAAGCAAGACUGUCACGCCCCAAGACCCACUCCAAGGGCGUGACGGUCAUUUCACACCUCAAACCCGAAGGCUUAAAGAAUAAUCUGACCCAAACAGUCAUAUUGUAACUGGAUGAUACCAAUUACCAAAUACCUGCUCAGAGUAGCGGAAACAAAAUCUAAAAUCCUCAAAGUUCAAUUUCCAAAUAACUUCCAAAUACCAAAAGAUCCAAAAUAACAUAACUAAUAGUUAAACAAAAUCCAACAUAAAAUCCUAAGUCAAAUCCUAAUGAUGACCAUUCCUCAGCCUAGCCAUCACUCCUCACCCGAACUAAGAGUACCUGAAAAAUUUUCAACAACUGGGAAUGAGCUCACAGCCCAAUAAGGAAUAUUAAUGCAAUUCAUGGAUCAAAUAUUUUCAUUUCAAAUAGGAGAUAUCAAUUUUUUUUUUCUCAUCAAAUAUCAGAGUUUCAAAAAUACCAAUAUAUUCAAAAUUCAACCAACCAAUUUCAUAUCAAAUUCAAACACUUUCACAUCAGACUCAAUCAAAUCCAUUCAAUUUUUCAUUACUCUGGUUAUCAAAUGUCAAAUGCCCAGUUAGGUGGGACUUUUCAAAUGGGUGGCUAGCCUCAAAUUGUUCCUGGUGGACGGAACCAAACACUACUAGUACUAGUAACCUCUAACCGAAACCCCUAGAGGCUGGGGUCCAAAUCAAUUACAUUCCCACCAUGAAAUGUAAAUGUCAACUAUUAUAUCCCGUUAACAGGGCCGAAUAGUCAACUAUUAUAUCCCGUUGACAAGGGCCAAAUAAACCAGAAUGAUGUUUUUGUUCAAGUAUUCAAAUUUACACAACAUAAUAUCUUCAUAUUUUGUGUCAUAAAUAAAACAAAAUAUUCCAACAUAAUAUUUAGUGCAAAACAGUUUGAUCCAUGCAUGAUAACAAAAUAUCAUUUUCUUUUCCACAAUUCAAAAUAACAUAUAAAAUAAUUUAAUUUUAUAAAUAUUACAUUAACUUCCCUUACCUCAAAAGAAGUCCUUGAAAGCUUGGGAGAAGAAUAAUUCUGAAAAAAUAUAAUCUACUCUUCACCUAAUAUAACAUAAGAGAAACAAUUAUUACUAUUUAUUUAUGAUUUAACUAAUCUAUUCCUUAUUUAAAAAAACUAAUAAAUUCCCAAUUUGUUUCUAAUAACACCUUACUAAUUGAAUUAAAUUAUAACUUUAUUUCGUUAUAAAAUUCUAUAUAUAUAUAUUGCUAAAUCUCUUAUUCUAUUUAUUACAAAAAUACCAUUAUUACUAUUAUCUUAUUUAUAAAUCUAAAACUAAAUAUUAUUAUUUUAAUUAAUCAAUUCAAAAGCCACUCAAUGUCUCGGGUAUACCAAACAAAACCAAAAAAACAACUUUUUUUUUUUUUUUUCAUUUCCAUCAAGAUAUAAGCCAAGCCCCUUUUUCCCCACUGGAAAUUGGUGAGAAAAAACCAUUCACCCCACUGGUGGAUGAGAAAUUAUAUAUAUAUAUAUAUAUAUAAAGGCUCAUGUCUCGGGUACACCAAACCAAACAAAAAAAAAAGCAAGUUUAGUUUUUUUUUUUUUUCCUUUCAUUGCCAUCAUCAUGCUUUAUAUAUAUAUAUAUAUAUAUAUAUAUAUAUAUAAAGGCUCCUUCCAGCACAGUACACGUCUGUGCACACGCGUUCUCCCUUUCUUUUUUUUUUUUCUUUCUUUUUUUUUUUUUAACAUUUUCUAAUCUCUUCAACCACAAAUAACAAUAUAUUUAUUUAUUUAUUUUUAUAUAAAAUUAACCCUAACCUAAAAUCAAAACCUUCCAAGGAAAUUUUUUUUUUUUCUAAUAAAACUUAAGAUCUCCCAAAUUCCAAUACUAAAAUCAAAAUCUUAGAUUUUCACUAUUUGAUAUUAAAACGAAUUAAAAAAAAAAUAAUCUAACCCUAAUCUAGAUUUGGGGUUUUCCAAAAAAAUAUAUCUAAUGUGUUUGAAAUUAAUCAAUAAAUCUAAAAUAUUAAACUAGGGGUUAGAAUCUUACCUAUAGAGAUCUGUUCUUCAACCCUGAAAUCUGACUCCAACUUUACGUUCUCUGGAAUUCUG